GCCGGGAUAGCUCAGUUGGUAGAGCAAAGGACUGA
rnacentral:tRNA from 1 species